CCUGGAUUCAAAUUCCUACACUAUACACCAAUACACCACUGCAUGCAAACAUUAACACUACACAGAAACGCACUACUACAUUUAAAUACCAACAUUGUACACAAAACCACCCUGUAUUCAAAAACUAACACUGCAAAAAAUACACCCCUGCAUGCAUAGUUUUGCUUUAUUUGGCUAUCAGUUUAGUUUGCUGAAGUGGGUGAGGAAUAUCCAAUAAUAAUGACAGUUUAUAAAAGAGGUACUUUUAUAAAUAAUUAAU